rnacentral:misc_RNA from 1 species
CCCCAGAUCAUGUUCUUGAUGAAAUCACGAUGACCGGGGGCAUCUGAGAGGGAUGUUAGCAUGAUGAUGGCAUGGUGGUGUGAGACAGUGACAACAUACCAAUGACGGUGACAUAGUAGCGAGGAGUCUCGAACUUCCAGAGAGCGAUAUCAAUGGUGAUACCACGCUCACGCUCGGCUUUGAGCUUGUCAAGAACCCAGGCGUACUUGAAGGAACCCUUUCCGAGCUCGGCGGCUUCCUAUUGUCCAGUGGUUAGUGACUGUAAGACAUAGUGCGCGACAGUGUGGUAAGGUUUUGUGGGCACAGGGCAAGCGCAUCCGUCACUCGAGUGGCGGGGUAAGAUACCCCACCAAAAAAAAUCACGGUCGCACCGCAAAAUUUUCGGACUCGAGCGGGGUAAUGAAUGCGUUUCGAAUGAGGGAGCGAGUCGUGGGAAUCGAUGGGAGCGCGCGUAAUCGAAGGGAUAUUGACUAACCUUCUCGAACUUCUCGAUGGUUCGCUUGUCGAUACCACCGCACUGGUAGAUCAAGUGACCGGUCUGUCAAGAGUUAGCAUGAUGUUGUGGUGAUACCCCGCCAAGCUGGCGGGUUCCGAGUGCAGAUAAGCGACUCGCUGAUGGUUGUACUUACAGUGGUCGACUUGCCAGAGUCGACGUGGCCGAUGACGACGACGUUAAGGUGAGUCUUGUCCC